AUUGAACGCUGGCGGCAUGCCUUACACAUGCAAGUCGAACGGCAGCACGGGAGCAAUCCUGGUGGCGAGUGGCGAACGGGUGAGAAAUAUAUCGGAACGUGCCCAGUGAUGGGGGAUAGCCCGGCGAAAGCCGGAUUAAUACCGCAUACGACCUACGGGUGAAAGCAGGGGAUCGCAAGACCUUGCGUCAUUGGAGCGGCCGAUAUCAGAUUAGCUUGUUGGUGGGGUAAAAGCCUACCAAGGCGACGAUCUGUAGCUGGUCUGAGAGGACGACCAGCCACACUGGGACUGAGACACGGCCCAGACUCCUACGGGAGGCAGCAGUGGGGAAUUUUGGACAAUGGGCGCAAGCCUGAUCCAGCCAUGCCGCGUGCGGGAAGAAGGCCUUCGGGUUGUAAACCGCUUUUGUCAGGGAAGAAACGGGUCGGGCUAAUACCUCGAACUAAUGACGGUACCUGAAGAAUAAGCACCGGCUAACUACGUGCCCAGCAGCCGCGGUAAUACGUUGGGUGCCAGCGUUAAU
rnacentral:rRNA from 1 species